UACGUAGGAUCCAAGCGUUAUCCGGAAUUACUGGGCGUAAAGCGUGCGCAGGCGGUUGUGUAAGUCUGUCGUGAAAUCCCCGGGCUCAACCUGGGAAUUGCGAUGGAGACUGCACGGCUAGAGUGUGUCAGAGGGGGGUAGAAUUCCACGUGUAGCAGUGAAAUGCGUAGAUAUGUGGAGGAACACCGAUGGCGAAGGCAGCCCCCUGGGAUAACACUGACGCUCAUGCACGAAAGCGUGGGGAGCAAACAGG
rnacentral:rRNA from 1 species